GAUGAACGCUAGCGGGAGGCUUAACACAUGCAAGUCGAGGGGCAGCAAUAGGGUAGACAAUACUCUGAUGGCGACCGGCAAACGGGUGAGUAACGCGUAUGCAACCUACCCUGUACAGGGGGAUAACCCGGAGAAAUUCGGACUAAUAUCCCGUAAUAAUAUCCGGAGGCAUCUUUGGAUAUUUAAAGUUCCGACGGUACGGGAUGGGGCAUGCGUAACAUUAGCUGGUUGGUAAGGUAACGGCUUACCAAGGCUAUGAUGUUUAGGGGUCCUGAGACGGGUGGUCCCCCACACUGGUACUGAGACACGGACCAGACUACCUACGGGAGGCAGCAGUGAGGAAUAUUGGUCAAUGGGCGCAAGCCUGAACCAGCCAUCCCGCGUGCAGGAAGACGGCCCUAUGGGUUGUAAACUGCUUUUCCAGGGAGAAGAAACUUACGCACGUGUUGCGUGACUGACGGUACCCUGGGAAUAAGCAUCGGCUAACUCCGUG
rnacentral:rRNA from 1 species